AAUUUCUAACUGAAGAUUUCUGCAGACAAAUGUAGAGGGUCACAUUCUUAGCUGGUAUAAAAAUGAGGUAUACAGAAGAGUUUAAAUGUUAACCACAGCCAGGUUUUCAACAAUAUGAGCUGAGGCAUAGCAGCGAGCACGAUAAAACAAACCCACUGGAUUGCUCUCUCUCAAGAGACCAAAAGACAAACUUUAAAAGAGGCCUUUCUCCAGCACUGAUAUAUAGAAACCCUCUGCACAUCUAUUUGGUAGGUAUGUGGGGACAAUAACUCUUUAUCUCAAGUUACUUGUGAAAGGAGCCAUUCUGAAAAUCAUGGAUAUUUAAAGCUGCUGCUUAUAA
rnacentral:lncRNA from 1 species